rfam:Triticum aestivum genome assembly, contig: Triticum_aestivum_CS42_TGACv1_scaffold_592537_7BS
CAUAUACUCCCUCCGUCUGAUAAUACUUGUCAUCAAAAUGGAUAAAAGAAGAUGUAUCUAGAUUUAUUUUAGUUCUAGAUACAUCUUUUUUAUCCAUUUUGAUGACAAGUAUUUUCGGACGGAGGAAGUAUGAC